rnacentral:rRNA from 1 species
GAUGAACGCUGGCGGCGUGCCUAAUACAUGCAAGUCGAGCGCAUGGACGAAGAUCUUGCCUCCCUGCUGUUAAGGGCGGAAGGGGGGGGAAAACGUGGGAAACCCUCCUUUAAGACUGGGAUAACUAUGGGAAACCGUAGCCAAAAACGGAAAAAAUUUUAAUCUGCAAGGUUAAAAAGUGAAAAACGGCCUUGCCGUCACCUAUAGAUGGAUCCGCGGUGCAUUAGCUAGUUGGUAAGGUAACGGCCUACCAAGGCAACGAUGCAUAGCCGACUUGAGAGGGUGAUCGGCCACACUGGAACUGAGACACGGUCCAGACUCCUACGGGAGGCAGCAGUAGGGAAUCUUCCGCAAAGGGCGAAAGCCUGACGGAGCAACGCCGCGUGAGUGAUGAAGGUCUUCGGAUCGUAAAGCACUGUUAUUAGGGAAGAACAGAUGUGUAAGUAACUGUGCUCAGCUUGACGGUACCAUAUCAGAAAGCCACGGCUAACUACGUG